CGACUAAGCGUACACGGUGGAUGCCCUGGCAGUCAGAGGCGAUGAAGGACGUGCUAAUCUGCGAAAAGCGUCGGUAAGGUGAUAUGAACCUUUAUAGCCGGCGAUGUCCGAAUGGGGAAACCCAGUGCAAUUCGUUGCACUUUCGUUAACUGAUUCCCUAGGUUAACGAUGCGAACCGGGUGGACUGAAACAUCUAAGUACCCCGAGGAAAAGAAAUCAACCGA
rnacentral:rRNA from 1 species